rnacentral:rRNA from 1 species
GACGAACGCUGGCGGCGUGCUUAACACAUGCAAGUCGAACGGAAAGGCCCUGCUUUUGUUGCUUGCUCGAGUGGCGAACGGGUGAGUAACACGUGAGUAACCUGCACUUGACUUUGGGGUAACUUCAGGAAACUCGGGCUCAUACCGCAUAUGAUCUCCUGCUCCAUGGUGGGGGUUGGAAAGUUUCGGCGGUUGGGGAUGGACUCGCUGCUUAUCCGCUGGUUGGUGGGGUAGUGGCUUACCAAGGCUUUGACGGGUAGCCGGCCUGAGAGGGUGACCGGCCACAUUGGGACUGAGAUACGGCCCAGACUCCAACGGGAGGCAGCAGUGGGGAAUAUUGCACAAUAAGCGGAAGCCUGAUGCAGCAACGCCGCGUGCGGGAUGACGGCCUUCGGGUUGUAAACAGCUUUCGCCUGUGACGAAGCGUGAGUGACGGUAAUGGGUAAAGAAGCACCGGCUAACUACGUG